AAACUGUCACAUAUGUGUACAAGAGAUGCAAUAAUAAUAGAAUUGUUAUCAGCGAUUGCAUUGUUUAACCCAAUUAGACCUCAACUGCUACACACAAAUGUUGUAAAACUUGAACAACAAAUGUACAUUUAUUUGUUACAAAGAUAUCUAUCAAUGAAAUAUUGUAAAACCAAUGAAUCGCAAAAAGUAAUUUCAAAUAUAAUGCAAUCAAUGUCUGAAUUAUGCAAACUCUGUGAUUGUUAUCGAAAUAGUGACCAAAACUGCAAUGUUUACAACAAUAGAUAUUA